rnacentral:rRNA from 1 species
AUACGUAGGGAGCGAGCGUUGUCCGGAAUUACUGGGUGUAAAGGGAGCGUAGGCGGGAGUUCAAGUCAGAUGUGACAUGCAUGGGCUUAACCCAUGAGCUGCCUUUGAAACUGCAUUUCUUGAGUGAAGUAGAGGUAAGCGGAAUUCCUGGUGGAGCGGUGAAAUGCGUAGAUAUCAGGAGGAACACCGGUGGCGAAGGCGGCUUACUGGGCUUUUACUGACGCUGAGGCUCGAAAGCGUGGGGAGCAAACAGGAUUAGAUACCCUGGUAGUCCACGCUGUAAACGAUGAUUACUAGGUGUGGGGGGACUGACCCCUUCCGUGCCGCAGUUAACACAAUAAGUAAUCCACCUGGGGAGUACGGCCGCAAGGUUGAAACUCAAAUGAAUUGACGGGG